rnacentral:rRNA from 1 species
CCUACGGGAGGCAGCAGUGGGGAAUAUUGGACAAUGGGGGCAACCCUGAUCCAGCAAUGCCGCGUGUGUGAAGAAGGCCUGAGGGUUGUAAAGCACUUUCAGUGGGGAGGAGGGUUGACUGGUUAAGAGCUGGUUAAUUGGACGUUACCCACAGAAGAAGCACCGGCUAACUCCGUGCCAGCAGCCGCGGUAAU